UCCAGACUCCUACGGGAGGCAGCAGUGGGGGAUAUUGCACAAUGGGGGGAACCCUGAUGCAGCGACGCCGCGUGGGUGAAGGAGUGCUUCGGCAUGUAAAGCCCUAUCGGCAGGGAAGAAGCAAGACGGUACCUGACUAAGAAGCCCCGGCUAACUACGUGCCAGCAGCCGCGGUAAUACGUAGGGGGCGAGCGUUAUCCGGAUUCACUGGGUGUAAAGGGAGCGUAGACGGCCAUGCAAGCCAGGGGUGAAAGCCCGGGGCUCAACCCCGGGACUGCAUUUGGAACUGUGUGGCUGGAGUGUCGGAGAGGCAGGCGGAAUUCCUAGUGUAGCGGUGAAAUGCGUAGAUAUUAGGAGGAACACCAGUGGCGAAGGCGGCCUGCUGGACGAUGACUGACGUUGAGGCUCGAAAGCGUGGGGAGCAAACAGGAUUAGAUACCCUCGUA
rnacentral:rRNA from 1 species